GGAAUCAAGUAAAAAUGUCCAGAGAAGAGAAGUAGAGAUUCCAACAGACAGAAUCUGCCAGGAAGCUUCCAGGGACUACGGUGGUUCGGAGCCAAGUGAACCAUGAGAGAAAAACCAAACUGUUACCAUCUUGAAAACAAGAGUUUCAUCUGAACAGGGGAGAUGAAUUGUAACUUCUCAUCUUGUAGAAAGAAAGAACCUUCAAAACUACAGCCGCUAGGAUCUGGCAUUCCGUUCCGUUUCUGCCAAGCACUCCCGAACCAGUCCUCUAGCGUGAAUGAUGCCUGAAAGAGAAGCAGAGGCCAGGAUCAUCUGGUUCAUAGGAUCCGCCGGCCGACCCACUCCACUCCUGAACAGGAAGAAGGGCAAUCCUUUUACAGCCUGGCCACGAAACCCUCGGACUGGAAGGGGACUCAGAGGACAAUAUAUCCAAACAACCCUCAAGGCACUAACAAAUUCCUUCCUGCCUCUCAAAGCCCUUCCCUCCCAGACAAAGCUCUUCCUGUAUCCCCAGAAAUGUCCUGCACUCCAGGUGGCCCCAGCAAGCUCUCCUUGGGUAACAUUCUGUUGGCUGAUGAGAAUAAACGUGCCUCCACCUGAGUUCUUAAGCUU